rnacentral:rRNA from 1 species
CACUCAUUCAAAGAGUGCGUAAUAGCUCACUGGUCGAGUGAUCCUGCGCCGAAGAUUUCCGGGGCUAAAACUUACUACCGAAGCUACGGCAUCAGUAAUGAUGGGUAGGGGAGCUUCCCAUACGGGUUGAAGCAUGACCGUAAGGACAUGUGGACAGUAUGGGAGUGAGAAUGUUGGCAUGAGUAGCGAGAUGUGGGUGAGAAUCCCACAGGCCGUAAACCCAAGGUUUCCAGGGGAAGGUUCGUCCGCCCUGGGUUAGUCGGGACCUAAGCUGAGGCCGAAAGGCGUAGGUGAUGGACAACAGGUUGAUAUUCCUGUACUACCGAUAACCGUUUGAGAGAUGGGAUGACACAGUAGGAUCAGCUAAGCACACUGUUGGUUAUGUGUGCCCAAGCAUUGAGGCAGUCAAAGUAGGUAAAUCCGCUUUGAUAAUGCUGGGAUGUGAUGGGGAGCGAAAUUUAGUAGCGAAGUAGCUGAUUUCACACUGUCAAGAAAAGUCUCUAUCGAGGUUAAAGGUACCCGUACCGCAAACCGACACAGGUGGGUGAGGAGAGUAUCCUAAGGCCAGCGAGAGAACUGUUGUUAAGGAACUCGGCAAAAUGACCCCGUAACUUAGGGAUAAGGGGUGCCACCAUCAGGUGGCCGCAGAGAAUAGGCCCAAGCGACUGUUUACCAAAAACAUAGGUGUCUGCUAAGUCGCAAGACGAUGUAUAGGAGCUGACGCCUGCCCGGUGCUGGAAGGUUAAGGGGAUCUGUUAGAGCAAUCGAAGCAGUGAACUUAAGCCCCAGUAAACGGCGGCCGUAACUAUAACGGUCCUAAGGUAGCGAAAUUCCUUGUCGGGUAAGUUCCGACCCGCACGAAAGGCGUAACGAUUUGGGCACUGUCUCAACAACAGACUCGGUGAAAUUGUAAUUCCGGUGAAGAUGCCGGAUACCUGCGACAGGACGGAAAGACCCCAUGGAGCUUUACUGUAGCUUGACAUUGGGUCUUGGUACUACAUGUACAGGAUAGGUGGGAGGCUUUGAAACCAGGACGCCAGUUUUGGCGGAGCCAUCCUUGGGAUACCACCCUUGUAGUACUGGGACUCUAACCAUAG